AGAGUUUGAUUAUGGCUCAGGAUGAACGCUAGCGACAGGCUUAACACAUGCAAGUCGAGGGGCAUCACGGGAGUAGCAAUACAACUGGUGGCGACCGGCGCACGGGUGAGUAACGCGUAUGCAACCUACCUAUCAGAGGGGAAUAACCCGGCGAAAGUCGGACUAAUACCGCAUAAAACAGGGGCACCGCAUGGUGAUAUUUGUUAAAGAAAUUCGCUGAUAGAUGGGCAUGCGUUCCAUUAGGUAGUUGGUGAGGUAACGGCUCACCAAGCCGACGAUGGAUAGGGGAACUGAGAGGUUGGUCCCCCACACUGGUACUGAGACACGGACCAGACUCCUACGGGAGGCAGCAGUGAGGAAUAUUGGUCAAUGGGCGGGAGCCUGAACCAGCCAAGUCGCGUGAAGGAAGAAGGAUCUAUGGUUCGUAAACUUCUUUUGCAGGGGAAUAAAGUGCAGGACGUGUCCUGUUUUGUAUGUACCCUGAGAAUAAGGAUCGGCUAACUCCGUGCCAGCCGCAGC
rnacentral:rRNA from 1 species